rnacentral:lncRNA from 1 species
CCCGCCCACCGCCUCAGCAACCAACCUCCAGGGAGGGGAAAGGGGGCAGAAGUUUGAGUUAAUAACUAAUAGCUAAAGAUGUAAACAAUAAGCCUCCAUAAAACCCCAAAAGGACUGGACUGGUUUCUGAGAGCUUCCAGGUUGUUGAGCACGUGGAGGUUCUGGGAGGGUCCACACCCAGAGAAGGCAUGGAAGCUGACCCCUUCCCCAUACCUUGCUCUUUGCAUCUCUUCCAUUUGGCUGUUCCCGAGUUGUAUACUUUGUAAUAAGUGGGAUUUCCACCCAACAACAAUUCAGCCACACUGCUUCACACAUCUAGAAUCCAUCCAAAAUUGUAAAGGCUUUGUGGCACUACAGUGAAACAGGCAAGAACAUCUUCCAAACAUCCAGCACAAGAGCACACAGGAGGCCGGCAUAAUCACGAAUUGCAGCUGUCUGAAGGGCAGUCACAUAAAAGAGGAGAAGCUUCACCUUUGCUUCACAAGGCACAUCUUGAACCAGGGAUGGAAAUUACAGAGAGGCCAAAACCAGCUCGGUGUGAGCAGGACUGGUAACAGACUGGCCAAGCAACAGAAGGGGCUGCCCUGUGAAGAAGCAAGCUCUCUGUCAAUGGGAGGUGCAAGCUGAGCCUGCACUACCUUUUGUCACGGUUGCUAUGGAAAAGAUUAAGAGCCCGGAUAGCCCUUCCUCCUCUGGGGGCCUGGGCAUCAGCAAGUCGGAUGGCAGUGGAAGGUGGAGAAAUGGAAUCCUGCUGGGGGCUCAGGAGGCCUGCCCCCUGAUGCUGCCGUGCACUGCAGAUGUCCUUGAUGAAGAGAAUGAAUGGAAGUGCCAGAAAGCCUUUAACAUAUUGGGUCCGGUCUAGAUUUGUAAGGAAGUAUGGCUGAAUUGUUAUCGGGUGGAUACAGUUUACAUGUUUAAAGCUGUCUUUCUCAAUGGCAAAAGGGCAUACUGCUGUUAUUGUCAGUGAGGGGUCAGUAGUUUAAAUGAUGAAACUCUGGGGAUCAGCGUAAAGUAAACCAACAUACUGCAUGUAAAUUCCUCAUUCUUACUGCUGUGAGAACAAUUGUUAGGAGCCAAAAACUUCAGAGCUUUCAAAGAACUGUAAUGAGAUAGCACAAUGCAGGCAAAAAGCCAGUGUUAACGGAGCAAGAAACUUCCCAGUUCUGACAUUCACAGCAUGACCUAGAGCAUGCGGAUUCCCCUCUCUGAGUCACUGGUUUCUCACCUGCAAAAGAAAGCGGGGACAGGGAAGGAGGAAGAAGCUUCGAGAGGCUGGAACAGUUGAGGGAGCGCUGACACGGUAAAGGCCACUUUGCUCAUCAUCACCAGGCGUGCUGCCGAAAAUUUCCACUCUGUUUACUCCCAAGACCUUACUCCUACUAUGUGGAGACACAUUUGAAUAAAAAAUUGGCCUCUUU